CUCAGGAUGAACGCUGGCGGUCUGCUUAACACAUGCAAGUCGAACGCAACCUUCGGGUUGAGUGGCGGACGGGUGAGUAACGCGUGAGAAUCUGCCUUGGGGUCGGGGACAACCACUGGAAACGGUGGCUAAUACCGGAUAAGCCUUUGGGUAAAAAAUUUAUUGCCCCAAGAGGAGCUCGCGUCUGAUUAGCUAGUUGGUGAGGUAAAAGCUCACCAAGGCAGCGAUCAGUAGCUGGUCUGAGAGGACGAUCAGCCACACUGGGACUGAGACACGGCCCAGACUCCUACGGGAGGCAGCAGUGGGGAAUUUUCCGCAAUGGGCGAAAGCCUGACGGAGCAAGACCGCGUGAGGGAGGAAGGCUCUUGGGUUGUAAACCUCUUUUCUCAGGGAAGAAGCUCUGACGGUACCUGAGGAAUCAGCCUCGGCUAACUCCGUGCCAGCAGCCGCGGUAAUACGGAGGAGGCAAGCGUUAUCCGGAAUUAUUGGGCGUAAAGCGUCCGCAGGUGGCGAUUCAAGUCUGCUGUCAAAGCACGGGGCUUAACUCCGUUAAGGCAGUGGAAACUGAAUAGCUAGAGUGCCGUAGGGGUAGAGGGAAUUCCCGGUGUAGCGGUGAAAUGCGUAGAGAUCGGGAAGAACAUCGGUGGCGAAAGCGCUCUACUGGACGGCAACUUGACACUCAGGGACGAAAGCUAGGGGAGCGAAUGGGAUUAGAUACCCCAGUAGUCCUAGCUGUAAACGAUGGAUACUAGGUGUAGCUUGUAUCGACCCGAGCUGUGCCGAAGCUAAACGCGUUAAGUAUCCCCGCCUGGGGAGUACGCACGCAAGUGUGAAACUCAAAGCGAAUUGACGGGGGCCCGCACAAGCGGUGGAGUAUGUGGUUUACUUCGAUUGCACGCGAAGAACCUU
rnacentral:rRNA from 1 species